GAAAUGCGAUAAGUAAUGUGAAUUGCAGAAUUCAGUGAAUCAUCGAAUCUUUGAACGCACAUUGCGCCCGCCAGUAUUCUGGCGGGCAUGCCUGUCCGAGCGUCAUUUCAACCAUCAAGCCCCCGGGCUUGUGUUGGGGACUUGUGGCUGCCCGCAGGCCCUGAAAACCAGUGGCGGGCUCGCUGUCACACCGAGCGUAGUAGCAAUCACCUCGCUCAGGGCGUGCUGCGGGUUCCGGCCGUUAAACAGCCUUACAAAACCCAAGGUUGACCUCGGAUCAGGUAGGAAGACCCGCUGAACUUAAGC
rnacentral:misc_RNA from 1 species